GAUGAACGCUGGCGGCGUGCUCAACACAUGCAAGUCGAACGGAAAGGCCUCUGCUUGCAGGGGUACUCGAGUGGCGAACGGGUGAGUAACACGUGGGUGAUCUGCCCUGCACUUCGGGAUAAGCCUGGGAAACUGGGUCUAAUACCGGAUAGGACAAUGGUUUGGAUGCUGUUGUGGAAAGUUUUUCGGUGUGGGAUGAGCUCGCGGCCUAUCAGCUUGUUGGUGGGGUAAUGGCCUACCAAGGCGUCGACGGGUAGCCGGCCUGAGAGGGUGUACGGCCACAUUGGGACUGAGAUACGGCCCAGACUCCUACGGGAGGCAGCAGUGGGGAAUAUUGCACAAUGGGCGCAAGCCUGAUGCAGCGACGCCGCGUGGGGGAUGACGGCCUUCGGGUUGUAAACUCCUUUCGCUAGGGACGAAGCGUUUUUGUGACGGUACCUGGAGAAGAAGCACCGGCUAACUACGUG
rnacentral:rRNA from 1 species